rnacentral:siRNA from 1 species
CAAAAUGGUCAAGUCAACGA